UCAUGUUGGCAGAUGAUCGCUGAAGCCUCGGCUUUAGAGGAAAGUCCGGACACCGAACGGCAGCAUACCAUGUAGAAUACAUGGGAGAUGAUGGCACAAGUCAUCAUCGACGGAAAGUGUCACAGAAAACAAACCGCCGAAGAGGAAACUUUUUGGUAAGGGUGAAAAGGCGGGGUAAAAGCCCACCGCUCCAAACGCAAGCGAGGAGGCACGACAAACCCUAUGCGGUGCAAGACAAACAGGAGAACAGGCAGCCGGCUUGGAUGCUUAGAUACGUUCAGCAUUUUGAACGGAUGGAAGUGAGACUCCGGGUACGUCGCAUUGAUUUUCGGAUCAGCGGUGAUGAAAGUCAUCGAGAGAAAUGGUCAUCCCAAUGUUGAGCAAUCAACGUUGUGACAGAAUCCGGCUUACAGCUGACAUACGAGG
rnacentral:RNase_P_RNA from 1 species